rnacentral:rRNA from 1 species
GACGAACGCUGGCGGCGUGCUUAACACAUGCAAGUCGAACGGAAAGGCCCUGAGUUUGUGGGGUGAUCGAGUGGCGAACGGGUGAGUAACACGUGAGUAACCUGCCCUUGACUUUGGGAUAACUUCAGGAAACUGGGGCUAAUACCGGAUAGGAGCUCCUGCUGCAGGGUGGGGGUUGGAAAGUUUCGGCGGUUGGGGAUGGACUCGCGGCUUAUCAGCUUGUUGGUGGGGUAGUGGCUUACCCAGGCUUUGACGGGUAGCCGGCCUGAGAGGGUGACCGGCCACCUUGGGACUGCGGUACGGACCAGUCUCCUACGGGAGGCAGCAGUGGGGAACAUUGCACAAUGGGCGGAAGCCUGAUGCAGCAACGCCGCGUUCGUGAUGACCGCCUUCGGGUUGUAAACCGCUUUCGCCUGUGACGAAGCGUGAGUGACGGUAAUGGGUAAAUAAGCACCGGCUAACUACGUG